GCGCUUCCGCCGCCCGCGCUUCCGCCGCCCGCGCUUCCGCCGCCCGCGCUGCCUCACGUAUUUGAGUGACUUCGAGGUGCCAGACGCUGCUCCGGGCCCCGGGGGCGUGGUACGACUCAGACAAGGCCUCUGCCCUUGGGAAUUAGAUUCUGUUGUGUGGAGCCUACACCUCCCUGCUCUUCACUCAAGUGGGUUACUCCCUUCUUCAAAAUUCUGGUAGCCUUGUUCCUCCACUCCAGGUCUUUAAUGAGCAACUCCAAAUGGUGGACGACUGGGUGGCAGAAGUCAUUUAUUUUUGUAUCCGGUACGGAAAAAACCUGGCAUGUGGUCUAGCUGAGUGAGAUGAAAUGCAGAGCAAUCUAGAACCCUUUGUUAACAAAAUUAGGUAAGAGAAAAUAUUCAAGACGCUCCAUUCAUCUUUAGAAUACUCUGCUGUGUUUGCUUUCUCCUACACAAACUGAGACUCUGAGGCAGUGACUGACUUCCCCAAAUCCCACAGCCAGAAAGUGAAGUUAAUAUGACAUCAUACAGCCUGUUGAGGAGCCAUCAGCUUAUCAUCCAUGGCCGAUUGUGGUGUCUGAACAGAAAGAUAAUCCACUAAAAAAAAUAAAAAGGACCAAAAAUAAACAAAAGGCCUGUCCAACUGCUGUUUGCCUGAAGCUGGCGUCUGAGAAGAACUUUCCCAGAAACAGGCAGCACCUGAAAUUACCAAGUAUAAAUACGAUGGGAAGAAAUAGGCAUGAAAGAAGUUUGAAAAAGCUCUGGUUUUAGUGUUUGCUUCUUGCAGCGUUGCCUGAGGGCCUGGUUUCUUCUUCAACAUGCAGGACUCUUCAAAGUGAAAUCAACGGGAUUUCCUCCCUUCCACAUUAUCCCUCCUGUCCACUCCGCAUCGGUGACCAUCCUGAAUUUAUCAAGUUCUCUUCUGUUAUUAUGUAAAGACCUCUUGGGUUUACAUAUAGUCCUCAAAGUCUUUCUCAAUUAAGACUUCAAAAUUUAAAACUAUUAAUUGAAACAUUAUGUGACAGGCACUUUGAUAAAUCCUGAAGUUACAGGGCUGAACCAGACAGACAUAAUUCCGGUCUCACUAAGCUUAAAUAAGGACAUAUAUUUCCCUGUCCUCCACAAAUGCAAUUUCUUUUUUAUUUUUGCUUUCCACUAGUCCAAUUGCUGUAACAACUUUGUGAUGUUACCUAUUUGUUGUUUUCACAUUUAUCUCAGAUGUGCACAAAUUUUCAAAGCUAACAUUAUAUUGGUCUGAAAUGAUAUGCUAUUUUAAGGAAGAUUGUGCAAAUUAUAUUUCCAACUGCCUUCAGGCUGUUUCCAUUUUUCUGUGGGCUGCGUCCUCGCCUUUGUUUUCCGGAUCUGAUUAGGCUUGGGAAGCAACGUGAAAUAGGUCAGAUGGACUGGGAUUUGAACUUUACUUGGGAAUUUUAAUGUAAUAUUUCUAGGUCUCAGUUUUCUCAGUUAAAAUGGAUUACCUCUUACCAUAUAAGGUUGUUGUGAAGAUUAAAGUAUGUGUGCAUGAGUGUAUAUCUAUACAUAUGUAUAGAUAUACAUAUAUUUUAAAAUGGAGAGAGAUUUAUUUAAAACCGUGACUGACAUGUAAUGGGUGCUCAAUAAGUGUUUGUCCUCAUAUCCCCACCUCUUCCUAGUUAAUUAUUCUUAUGAAAUAUGAACGUUUUCGUUUUUCUCCUCCAUCCCAUCGCCUCAGUCCCGGCACCACGUCUUGUGUAAAGACCCCUGCAUUAGCCUCCUAUUGUUUUUCUCUCCAAUCCUUCACCUGUAAUCUUUCUAAAUGGUUGCUUUCACCAUGAUUCUCCCCUGCUAGGUAUAUCCUGCAAACACUUACUGCCCUUCACAGUGCUCUUUCUGGUGUUCUUCCUGCUUUACUUUCGUUUACUCUUGGUAAAACUACUUCCAUCCUCUCCAUUGCAGGAUCAGUUCAAUUUGGUUGUACUUACUGCUUUUCUUUCCCUAGGUGUAUCAUUCUCAGUUUUGCCUCUGAGUCUUUGCUUAUGUUGUGGUAGGAUUUUAAGUUGUGAGUCAACUUUAAUUUUGGAAGAAAAUGGUUAAAACUUGACUUACAUGCUACAUGUGCUUAAUAUAAUUUGUUAGGUCUCUUUGAUUAUAAGCUACAGAAAUCAAACUAGCUUAGGCCAAAAAAGUAAAUUAGUGUUUCAUGGAAUCCAGGUACAAUUUGCACAACUUAAACUGCAGGAGGACAGGGAUUCAACAGGGUCGUAAGAAGAGCUGGAAGCAGAGACUAGACAGGCCUCAGGGCUCACGCCGUCUCUCGUCACUGCUCCUCUUGGCCUUUUAGUUUCACCCUUUCUCCCUGAAAGUUUGCUUCUUCCACAUACUUGGCGCCUUGCCAAAGGUCCUCUGAAAGAGAGGAGGCUGAUUUUCUUUCAAGGACUCUGAUUGGUCUAGCUAAGGUCAGGUGUCCACUCCUGGACUGUUUAAGUCUGUCUCGGCAGCAUGAUCAUGUAGAGGUGUGGAAGUUCCCGCUGUAGUCGUGUAUAAGUGUGAGUGUGUGCGCGUAAGUGCAGGGUAUGGCUGGGAGCCGUUCUCAGAUGAAGAAGGGGAAGAAUGCUAGCUGUGAACAUUGUGCAUGUAUUAUUAUUAACAUCAGCUCUGGGUACUUGAGGGUGGAUUCCUUGUGCUCUUGAGUUUGUCAUCAAGGGAGACACAACAUGUUCACACAAAUCUCCUUUGAUAUUAAUGAGAGAGAUGUUACACUGAUCGUGGCCCACUGGCAUGCUAAAAAGACAUUUUUUAUGCUAUUGUAACUUACUUGCGAGGGCUUUCUGUGAGUUUGGGAAUAUAAUUAAUAUUUAUCUUUUGGAUGUAAUCACCAGUUAUGUAAUAUUCACAGUAGUGUCACACAGUUAAACUUGUUUCACCUGUUUGAACAUAUACUUCUGAAACAAACUAACAAGUGAAAUCAUCUUGUAUAACACCAGUUAUACCUAGGCCACUGCGAAGGCCAAUAGUGCACCAAUAAUACUCCCUGUCAGCACUUUAGUAACUGGAACAGCCUUUAUUUCACAUGAUGUCUUUUGGUACAUUGAAUAUUACAGAAAACAAGAAUGAUAAUUAUAGAAUCAUUCUAAUAUUUAUUCUCCAAAAUGGAAUCACAUUCAUUAGAUAAGUAAAGUUGUUUCUAGCCACAUUUUGAAGUUCUAUUUAGCUUUGCAAUACCCUUUUCAUAUUGAUGAGACCCUUGAAAUUUAAGAAAAUUUUUAUUGUUUGCAUCUGUCAAAAGUAAAAAGGAAACAAAAGAAAUGUAGACAUCUAAUUCAGACUUCAGGUUUCUAAUCACCCUGUGGGGUUCUCUACCUGUAAGUGUAAUAGCUGAAGUGAAAUGUUAG
rnacentral:lncRNA from 1 species